GGGGAUUUAGCUCAGCGGCGUAAGCACCUGCCUUGCAAGCAGGUGGUCGUGAGUUCGAUCCCUG
rfam:Cavia porcellus supercont2_226 genomic scaffold, whole genome shotgun sequence.